CUUCAAAGUGCUCAGAACUCAGAGAGGACAGAUACAACAUAAUAUACCACCUGCCAUCUUUGGAAGCUUGGAAUAGAAUUGAUACAGAGGAUCAGAUGAUGCUCCCAACAGGUGAAAAGAGGCUCUCAAACAAGCUCGGCAUUCAUCAUGUCCUGAGGAAAAUCCCAUGUUGCUUCAUGCCAUUGAUCUGUAGCUGUCUCCAACAAAAGGACCUGAAUGCCUGCCGUGGCCCUGGGAAUUUUAAAUAAGAAGUCAAUGAGAGAUGCUGGGCGAGCAUGAAGCCAGGCACAUAGGACAUAUUCUGGACUACUGAUUGAAUAAUUGCAAUCUUCCAAACAGAGUUAUUCUACUGGCUGAUUCUCAGUCCAGAAAAAUACAGUAACUCCUUCAUUUGUUUUCCACACCUUUGGCUGCUGAACACUCAUUACUUUUCCCAGAUCAUCUUUAGGGAGGUGUUUUCUCA